CGGGGCCCAGGGGGGCCUCGCCCUCGGCGACGCUGCUCAGGAGGGCCAGGGCGGCCAGGGCGGGCCACAGGGCGGGCUGCGCGGAGAGAGGUGGUCGCGGAGCCUCAGGGGAGAGGGCGCAGCCCGGCGGGCUCCAGGCGGCGCUCGCGGAGGGGGCCGGGGCCGGCGGGAGGGCUCCGCGCGCUCGAGGAAUCCGCCCGCCGCCCUCCUCUUGCUCCCUCCCCGCCCGUUUCCCCGUCCUCCUCUGCCCCCUGCCCGGGGAGCCUGGCUGGCUGUCCCUCCCCCGCCGAGCCACCGCUCCUCGGUGCCAGGUGGGCGUCCCCGUCCCCGGGAGAGCCACUCACCUGCCGCCUAGGCCGGGGCCCGAGGGGCAGCACAGAAGGGCCAGGGCGUCCGGGCUCCAUCUCUGUCGACACCAGGAACUCCCGUCAGCCCCCGUGGACCUGUUCCCCUGCCCCUCUCGAGGCAGCGGGGACCACUGACGGGUGAGCUGUCCUUUGAGCAGGUCAUCCCUCCACUUCGGCUUCUCCAGAGGAGGAACGAGGGCCUUGGGCAGCCGGACUCAACCCGAGAGGAGAACCCAGCACCUGUCCUCUCUUUCGGACCUCACAGCUCCAUGAGGUACCUGGGGUAGUGCCCAUUUCCCAGACGGAUGAGCAGACAAGGCUCAGAGUAGCUCAGGGAUGAGCUCGGGUCAUCCGCUGGACCCACACAGCGGUGGGGGGAGCAGGGGACCUUUCUGCUCUGUGCUGCGGGGCUGGAGCUGCCAGAACCAGCUGGAGAAAGAAAGGAGCAGCUGGACACCCUUGAUCGCACAGAGCCCUCUCUCCCUGCCGAAGAGGAAGCUGUGGCCUGGAGAAGAAUUAAGCUUCCCCUGGACCUGACAGCCUGGCCCUGCUCCUAGAAGUUUGCCCCAUGAACCAUCCUUCCUGGGCCCAGCCAGCCUUCCUGAGCCCCAGCAGCUUUUGUGAGCGUGCACCAUCUAGCACCCCCAGUCACCUCUCUGGAGCCCUCAUGAACCCUCACCAGCGGGCCUGCUCUUGGGUCCUAGUGGGCGCUCCACCCCCCCACCCCCAGCACACGGAAUGUCUGCAUACCUGUGGGCCAGACCACCCCGGCGUGGUCCCCCAGGGCCAAGGGUGCUUGGCUAACGGAACACGGGCCUGAGGAGCCAGGUUAGUGACUGUUCUCACUGACGGGGGGAAAGCUUGGCGAGGCCGGCGCAAGGGCCCCUGCGCUAGGGGGCGCCCAGGAGCAGGUCUCUGGAGGGCAGCUCAGGCCCUAGGUCUCCCUCCCCACGAUCUGGGGCCACCUGGUCCUCCAGUGCAGGCCUGGCCUCCCCAUCCACCAGCCCCACACUCACCCCGGCGGCUGUGUCGUGUUCCUCCAGGCACCUUUUCUGGGACCAGAGCUGGGCUUUCCCCCGCGGCUCCAAAGGCUCACGCCCAGAGCUCUGCACCUGGCAGCGCCUCUUUUAGCCAAAAGCGUGGUCUUGGCAGCCCGUCUGAGCCCUGCAGCGGCAGCCGGGGCCUCACAUUACAGCGGGCCGCCCGGGCUGGCGGGCUAGCGCAGUCCAACAAGCGACAAGAGGGACUGGGGGGGGGCUGGGAGGGCCGGAGAGCCGCGCGGCGGGCCCAGGAGAGGGAGGACGCGAGAAGGGAGUGGAGGGGGACGACGCUGCCCACUCGCCCCGGCCCCAGGGCUGGGACGAGGGGGGGGGCACACAGGUCGGCUUACCGUGCGUGGAGGGCUCUGGGUCCGGGACACAGUGAGGGCUGGGACCCGAGGGACCUGCUGCUGGCAGAGCCCGCGGGCCGUGUCUGGGGGCCGGGCCCAACUCCAUCCCUCCGCAGCCUCAUGCCUGCUGCCGUCCGGUGUCAAAUUCCAGCCCUGGCGUCACCGGAUCCUGGGGUGGGGCCCUGAGCGCCCCCGCCCCGCCCCACCUUUCAGGGCUCACCUGGCUGCUCCACCCUCCGGAAUCCGGUCCCCCCAGCUCCACUAGGUCCCCCGAGGUGGUGGGGGAGGAGCCCCUGGGAAGGGCUCCCAGGAAAGAGCAGGGAACCCAGGCAGCGCAGGGGCGCGGACGCUGGGUGUUCAGAGUUUGCCGACACUUGGAGUCGGGAGUCGGGAGGCUGGACUGAGGGCGGGAGAGGGAGGGGACAGGCCGAUCCUGCCUCGGGCCACCGGCCUUGGGGUUCUCCCCGUCUCUGCGGUCCCGGCGGGCCACUCUGCACGAGCUGCUCUCUGCUCCCGGCUAGUUUCUUCUCUCAGCAGACCCACGGGGCUCCUUGAGUCUGCGAGGCACUGCGCUGGGGCUUCCAAGGUCGGAGCCGGCUCCAGCCGUCCCGCCGCUCCCCUCCCUGCUGCCCGGGGGCUCGGCGUCCAGACGCACCUGCAAACACCGCCGCUCAGCCCGGCACGGCACAGCGAGGGCAGCGUGGGCUCUUGCCAGGAAGCUGUGAGGGCUGAGUCUCCCGGAGACUGAAGGAAUGAAAGAGCCAUGAAAGCCAGUAGCCUCGCCUUGGUCUGACACAGCCCACCGCCCUGGUGGCCCUCGUGCAUCUGAAGCCCUGGGAGGUUUCUGGUGAAGAACUUAGUGGCUCUUGUCCGGGCCUUAUCUGAUCCAGUCACCCUCGUCCAACCUUCCAAAUCUCUGCAGACUGAAACUUGGGCAGAGCUCCCUGCAUCCGUCUUCUCUGAACACUCCCGUCAACUCCCUGCGCUAACCUGGCUGCCCCCCAGACACCCCCCUUCCCUCUCAGCCGCAUUCCUGGGUGCCUGGAGGUGGCAGGUCUUCCUCACCCUUUGUGACUGCGUCCUCACAACUGUCCCUCAGACGCCCGCGACCCCCUGCUCCUUUGGCCCCCGGCGUUCUCCCCAGCUGUCUGCCACAUGCCCCCUCCUUGCUGCAGCCCCGUGGCCAUUCGCCCUCCUUCCCGGGAGAUUCAAACAUCUGGCUCCCUGUCUGUCUCUGAAGGCAGGACCUGUCCAGCAGAGAUGAUGCGCCAUACGAAUGGGUUGGAUGCAGUCAGUUUCCAGCCCCCGCCUCCAUCAUGCCCUGGGAAGAAGGAACCCCGCAGACAGAGAAAUUUAAUGAAAGGUUUAUGGCUGGAAUAUGAUGCCUGAGACUUGUUUCCCAAUAACCAGCGGGGACCGGGAGGCACGGGAGGAAGGACAGGCUGAACACCGCUGGCCGUGUGGUGAUAACGGGGCGGGGACAGUGUCUGGGAGCUGGAUUUUACUCUCUAUGCUGUGAACAUGUUUGACGAAGUUCGUAAUAAAAGAGUAACCAAAACGUCUGCCCGGGCGGCUCUCCCUCCCACUGGGGCCACGCCGCCUCUCUGCACCCUUGCCCCGGUUCCUCCUUCGCGCACCCAGCACAGGGGCUCACAGAGUGGCCUGUGCCAAGCUGCCUGCACUGCCCACGGGCCGGGGCAGGGUUCUGCCAGCCUCCCCAGGGGCCCCGACUCUGGACACAGAUGUCUAUCCCGCUCACAGCCCCGCUGCAGGCGGGCUUUCCUUCUCACAGCGCUCUGCCCAUCCUCUCUGUGCUCA